CGGGACGGGUGAGUAACGCGUGGGUAACCUGCCUUGUACUGGGGGACAACAGUUGGAAACGACUGCUAAUACCGCAUAAGCGCACAGCUUCGCAUGAAGCAGUGUGAAAAACCCCGGUGGUACAAGAUGGACCCGCGUCUGAUUAGCUGGUUGGUGAGGUAACGGCCCACCAAGGCGACGAUCAGUAGCCGGCCUGAGAGGGUGAACGGCCACAUUGGGACUGAGACACGGCCCAA
rnacentral:rRNA from 1 species